rnacentral:rRNA from 1 species
CUGAGAGGAUGACCAGCCACACUGGAACUGAGACACGGUCCAGACUCCUACGGGAGGCAGCAGUGGGGAAUAUUGCACAAUGGGCGCAAGCCUGAUGCAGCCAUGCCGCGUGUAUGAAGAAGGCCUUCGGGUUGUAAAGUACUUUCAGCGGGGAGGAAGGGAGUAAAGUUAAUACCUUUGCUCAUUGACGUUACCCGCAGAAGAAGCACCGGCUAACUCCGUGCCAGCAGCCGCGGUAAUACGGAGGGUGCAAGCGUUAAUCGGAAUUACUGGGCGUAAAGCGCACGCAGGCGGUUUGUUAAGUCAGAUGUGAAAUCCCCGGGCUCAACCUGGGAACUGCAUCUGAUACUGGCAAGCUUGAGUCUCGUAGAGGGGGGUAGAAUU